CGCCCCUCCUCGGGCCUAUUACUUUGACUAAAUGUGAGCGCUCGAUGCAGGCCCUUGGGGCCUUGAAACCCGCAGCAAAGAAUAACGGAACAGGGGCUCCCUGCUUCCCUCUGGUCAGUGACGGGCCAAUGAUUUAUUGGGGGGAUCGGGGUGGGCCACAUGGCGGGGGUAGGGGUGAAAUCCGUUGAUCCUCGCCAGGUGAACUAGAGCGAAAGCAGCCCACAAGUACCCUUUCUUAGAUCAAGAACGAAAGUCUGGGGAUCGAAGAUGAUCAGAUACCAUCGUAGUCCAGACCCUAAAUGAUGCCGGCCAUGGAUGGGCGCUAGUCCAUCCCGAC
rnacentral:rRNA from 1 species